GAUGAAGAACGUAGUGAAAUGCGAUAAGUAAUGUGAAUUGCAGAAUUCAGUGAAUCAUCGAAUCUUUGAACGCACAUUGCGCCCGGUAGUAUUCUGCCGGGCAUGCCUGUUCGAGCGUCAUUUCAACCAUCAAGCCCCAGCGCUUGUGUUGGGGGCCUGCGGCUGCCGCAGCCCCCUAAAAGCAGUGGCGGGCUCGCUAUCACACCGAGUGCAGUAGUUCAUCUUCUCUCCGGUCUUGUGAGGCGGGUUCCGGCCGUGAAACACCCCACUACAUUCAAGGUUGACCUCGGAUCAGGUAGGAAUACCCGCUGAACUUAAGCAUAUCAUAAGCGGAGGA
rnacentral:misc_RNA from 1 species